CCGCCUCGUUCUCCUCCCUCGACAGCGCCGCACCUCCUCCCUCAUUCCUGCUCGUCCGGAUAGCCGCCGGCCGCCGCAUCCCUUCUCCCCCUUCCUCCUCCUUCCUCCUUCCCGCUGGCGCUGACGAGGGGGCCUCUCGCAUGGACGGCCGGGGCUUCAAACCAGGGGGGGCCAAGAAAGCCGGCCGGCGGCGGUCGGGGCGGGCGCGGAGAGGGCCGAUGCGGCGGCCGCGGGCGGGGCGGUGGCGGCCAAGGCAAGGGAGGAUGAGCAGCAGCAGCAGCAGCGUCUCCAUGGACGCGGCGGCGUGACGGCUUCCAGGCACGGAUCCCCUCCUCCGCCUCCAUCCUCCACCUCUCCGGUCGCCCGGUUGCAACGCAGCAGCUCCUUCCUACCUUCCAUGGACGAACUCGACGGAGACGCCGUCCAGCCCGACCACGGCCACGACUACCCCACGCACAAGAAAGGUAGUUAUUGUGAAUUGAUGUUCGCACUGAGGCCGGAGGCGAGAGGCGAGGGCACGAAGGUCGACGGCAAGUGCUCAGGAGAGAAGAGGAAGGCGGCGGUGGCUGCGGUUUACACGAGAGCCAGGUGACCUGCCCAGAAAGGUAGUUACAGUGAAUUGAUGUUCAUAUGAACUUCAAUGCUGUGACGUUUUUAUUAGAUCUGAGUUGCAAUCCUCAAUUUUUUUAGGUUUGAGUAGCAAUGUUCCUGCUCUACUAGCUAUGACAUUUUCCAUGUUUUUUCUUCUAAUAUCGUAUUGCCUCCAUGCUUAUGGGUUCAACUUGACAAGCUUUUUUCAUCUUACAUCCUGUUUUAAGCUCUGUUGAUGGUUGAUUUCUGCCAUGUUUAUGGAGGGAGAGGACGCCAAGUACUAGGAGAAGGAUCAGUUUAGCAAGUAGAGGCUGUAAUUCUCUUAUGAUUAUGGAUCUGAGGAUGAAGAGAAGAUAUGGGUUAACUUUCGGAGUGAUUGAGUUGGUCAAAAAAAUUGAAGCACAUCAAAGGGGCUUGUUGCUUGGCUGCUAUGGAGAAGGGUAUUCUUUGAAGGAGUUGUAGACCUUUUGGAUAUGCUUCAAUUUGGACACUUUUUCAGUAUGUAUAUGAUAUGGGCAGGAAAUGAAAAACUUAAUGUGGCUGGAGUUCUACGCGGAUUAAAUCUAAUUAUCCUUAUAUUUCAACUCCAAUGACUCGGCCUCACAUGAAUGCGGUUUUGGGCAUGUGUUUCGGUUCAUUCGGUUUCGACGGAAUCAAAGGUCAGGAAAAAUAUAUAGGUGUUAGUUCAUUAUCUUUUCAGGUUUCUUAAUUAUUCAUACAUUUGCAUCUAUGUUACAGGUGUUAGCUUUCAUGGCUAGGAUUUUUUUAGCAUAUUCAAAUCUGUAUUAGAAUAAGGUUUCCCCCUUGGAUGUUCCUUAUGUAUCCAUAUAUUAGAUUUUUUGUGUGGUUCAUUUGUUGCAAAUAUAUAAAUAAUAAUCUGAUUGACUAUAUGCAGAUUUGGUUUGAAAUCUUCAAGCAGUCUCUGACAAGUUGUAGGUGAAGAAGAUCAUGUCCUAGGAGUUAUAUGCACGUGGAGUACAUUUAUUGUAUGCAUUUUGUUUAGAAGUAUUCAGUUUCAUAGCAUAAUCAAGUGUUUUUCAAUACUCUCUCUCUCACACACACACAAAAUGUCUUUAAUUUCUGUUUUUUUAAUGUAUUGGCCUCUGAAUGAUCUGCAUGGUAUAUAUCUAUAUCGCUGAAUGACCUCGACUUGUACCUUUGUGGUUUGCAAACACUAAAACAUGUGUUGCUACAGAGUUAUCUUAAUUUUAACGUUGAUCGGUGCAGGUGGGUUCUCAUGGUAGGAUUUGAUCCACUCGGAUAUCAAUGGUACUGAUACUUAAGUUGGCUUUCUUUAAAAAAAUAAAUCCUUGUCGGAGUUUGGGUACUGCACUUUAUAAUGCAAAGGAAUGGUAUAAACUAUAGCUGGUUCUUUCAUGUAGUAUGCCUUUUUCUAUAAUUUGAUUGCACAUGUGGAGGGCUUCUGGAUGCAUUUAUUGUCUCAUGUCACAAGGAUUUACAACUUUUACGAGAAUGCGGGUGUAGAGUAUUGAUAAUUCCAGAUGGCUCACUUCCUACAAUAGAGCACCCUACAGUACUAUCAAUUAUUCAGUCAGAGAACCACACUAUGCUGAAUAUAUUGGUGGAUCAGGUACAUCGAUAAGCACCCAAUGUUCAGUCAGAUGAAGAGAGUGAAAAUAUAUUGGUGGAUCAGGUACAUUGACAAGCACCCAAUGUUCAGUCAGAUGAAGAGAGUGAAAACAGCGUUUACUCUGAAUUUUCAGACAGAGUGGCGAUGCAGCUGGAAGUUUGAGGCACUGGAUUCCCCCUGACGGAGGAACAAUCAAGUUAAAUUUAGAUGCUUCAUUCUUUGCUGAGACUUGGAGGAGCUAUAUCGGGGCCAUCGCCGGUUUUUUUUUUUUUUGGUGUUUCUUCUAUUUAUCCAAGAGCAUUGACAAAUGUAGUUCUGUGGAAGAGGCUGAGGCUCAGGCGAUGCUAGAUGGAUUGACAGCUCUGACAUCUAUGUACAACAAUGUCUGUUUCCCAACUUCAUGCGACAUUAAGACCAGCUCUUCGUCUGUUCUUGUCCAAGUCCGGGCAGCAGAACCAGUAUACCAUCGCCCAUGCCCUUGGUGUGUGUGUGCCAGAACUAAAGAGAACAUACUCAAGAUUGCAGAUAUCCCAGCGGAGUUACAUGGGGCAGUUAAAUCUGAUUGUAAGCAAGGUUCCCGAGUAGUUUCUACUCUGUAUCUAAAACAUGCAUCCGAUGGAAAAAACUAUUAAUAUUGCGAUGUAUUUCAGGAAGUGGAUUAGGAGCACUCGGGUGCUCUACCCCCCUGCGUAGCACCCGAGAGCUCCUAUGCAUUUUCGUGCA